rnacentral:lncRNA from 1 species
GACAUGUCUUUUCUUUCCUUUCUCAUGAACAUCUUUUAAGGAUUCUGACAGCAUUAAUUGAGAAUUCGGCUCUGUCUUGUCCUGCAAAACAUAAACUUUUGGAUAUAUAUAUUAACCUCACCUCUUUACCAUUCCCAGGCACUUUGUUGGAACAGAGAGAUUUUCUUGUUUUAUCUGUGAAGGAUCCAUUUGGUGCCUUCUUCAAGCGGGCGAAGGCGAGCUUGAUAUUACAUUGCUGUGUUGCCCCAGGAAUUUGUUUUAAUCUUACUUUUAUCAUCUCGACGGCAAAUUGUGCUAACUUAUC